rnacentral:rRNA from 1 species
GACGAACGCUGGCGGCGUGCUUAACACAUGCAAGUCGAACGCGCCUGUCCUCUGGGUUUCUGGGGGGUGGGUGAGUGGCGAACGGGUGAGUAACACGUGAGUAACCUGCCCCCUUCUUCGGGAUAACGGUCUGAAAGGGCUGCUAAUACCGGGUAUUCACUGGUCUCCGCAUGGGGUCUGGUGGAAAGGUUUUUUUCUGGUGGGGGAUGGGCUCGCGGCCUAUCAGCUUGUUGGUGGGGUGAUGGCCCACCAAGGCUUUGACGGGUAGCCGGCCUGAGAGGGUGGCCGGUCCCUUUGGGACGGAGUUCCGGCCCAGCCUCCUCCGGGGGGCGGCGGGGGGGAAUAUUGCACAAUGGGCGAAGGCCUGAUCCGGCGCCGCCGCGGGGGGGAGGGGGGCUUUGGGGUUGGGACCCUCUUUCGCCCGGGGUCAGCCCGCGCCGGGGGUCGUGGUGGGGGUGGGGGGUAAAGAGGCCCCGGCUAACUACGUC